rnacentral:lncRNA from 1 species
CGCUUGCUGCUCGAUCGGAGAGGAAUAAACCGGCCGCUCGCCUUCUCGCCCGCCCGACCUCCGCCGCGCCGGCCGUACGUACCCAAUCGAUGGAGAUGAAGAAGGUGUUCUUCGCCGCUCUUGUUGUCGCUGCCUCGGCGACCGCGGUGCUCGCCUCCGAGGCGCCCACCGGCGCCCCCGGCGCCCCCGGCGGCGCCCCUGGCCCCGCCGCCAGCGGCGCUUCUGCCUCCACCGCCGUGACCGCCCCCGUCGCGCUCGUCGUCUCCUUCCUCGCCUACUACCUCCACCACUGAUUGACGCGGCGUUGUAUGUCUCUGUUCGUUCGUUCGUUCUAGGUUGCUGCUGCUGUGAUGAUGGAGAAGAGGGGGAGGAGGGGGCAGCGUCGCAUUGGUGGCACGCGCGCGCUUGCAUGCAUGUAUGGGCGUGAACGAUGCGGCGCUGUUUUUAUUUUAUUAUUAUUAUUAUCUGAUUCGUGUCAUGUUUAUUCAUUAUAUGUAGCGCCUGUCUGAUAUUAAUCCUAUUAUACAUGAAUCGAGUGGUUUCAUUCUGCUGGGUUCUCUCGCCAUUUGCAAAUGUUUUGUUCUUCGCGUUCUUGCAAAUUUUCGUAGAAAUCACUAGUUGCUCCCAAUUUUCGUCUAGUGACCACGCAACAUUUUUUUAGGAAGUGUCCACGAAUCUAUAUGUGGCCCAUCUGCCCAGGGUGGUAGGUACUAGGCCCAGUAGGUUGUAAUGAGAACAUACAUUAAAGCCUGUCUCUAAUUAAGCCGACGAUCCCAAGCCUUGGGAGAUAGAGAAAGGCCCAAACUCGGGACUACCAGCCCAAAGGGCCGAAACGUCC